UCCGCCAAACCAUGUGGUGGGGAAUAACAACCCCCUCAAACUGCAGCACAGGUUUGAGGUGACAGUAGUUGGUGCUGUAGUGGCAGCUCUGCUAACCCCCCUGAGCAAGGUGUAUGUGGUCCAGCAGGGUCUGUUGGUCUGGUGCUCAAUUCAGAGCUGGGUUAUGCUCAAUCAGGACUAGUGUGGUGUUUGAGUAGGCCGCAACAGUUCCUCAGUCUUGAGAAAUCCUUUGUUCAGUCUUAGGGAUUUACUCAUGUGGGACUUGGGAAAUUCAGUUAGAGAGCCUCAGCUCUUCCCCAUUAGGAUAAUAGAGGAAUAUCUAGGAGCAUGCUGUACAAUCCUUCUAAGUCAGUAUCCUCUCUGUGAGUCAUAGCAGUGCCUGUUCCCAAAGUGACAGACUGGUUUGAUAGGAUACAGUUGUGUCAGAGUUGGAAGUACACAAGUGCAGUUAUUAAAAAUGAAUGCUGUAUCCUCUUUCCCUCGUGUAUCUUGUCACUGACAUGACUUCACAAGUUGCAGAUCUAUUAAACAUUUCAAACAUGAAACUAGAGCUCAUUAAGCAGAAUGUUGUCUGGUAUAUAGCAAACUGUUUCAAAUUCAAGACUGAUAAUAUUUGUCUCCAGAGCUUUUUGUCUUCUAGGUUGUCACCAAGCAAUCCAGCUGUCUGGGAAUACAGCUUGUGCUUCAUCUGAUCAGAGUCUGACUGUCCUUUGGGGUGAGGUAGUAGGUUGUAUAGUUUUAGGGCUAUGCCCUGCCUGUCACAUAACUAUACAAUCUACUGUCUUUCCUGAAGUGGCUGUGAUGCCAGCGCUGGAUGUGCCUUUGAAAGACAACACAGAGAUUUUGCAACUGUAACAUUCCCUGGCUCUGCCUGUACAUUGCAUUUGGCUCUUGUACACAAAUGUCCUUACAGUGUUUAGAUUCCUCUAUUUCCCAUUCAGACCCAAAAGCCAUUUCCUUUCUGUGGUUUUCUCAGAGAAGGGGGGGUGUGAGUGAGCCCUUUUCCCAGUCUGCAGUGGACUUGCUCAUGCCCAGCGUUCCUGCGCUGCCAUGAGAGUGACCCUCUGGAAACAGCUGACCCACUUCUCCUUUACCUUCUGGCAUUUGUGUCCAUGGUCAACAGAAAAUGCCACUUUGGAGUCAGCAGCUGUUUAAAUCCACUUUGUGUCGGCUGUUUGAGAAACUGCAAAGGGACGAGCUGGACAAAAACCAAGGAGGAUAUCUUCCAGUCGCUCGUGUUCUGCCCUGGAACUGGUAAAUGCUUGAGCCCUAAGUGAGAGAUCUCUUUAAUCAGUUUUGGAUCCUGAUUUCACUUGCUUUUUGUUACAUAUUGCUAAUUUGGGAGGGACAGUGUUUGCACUGCAGUUGUGAUGUCUCUGGAGUCACCUCACCCAUUCUGACUGACUUCCAGUGGAACUGUGAGGAAGGGUCAGCAGGCCACAGUUACAGAAGUGGGUGGGACAGAACGUGUGUGCAAAUGGUGAAAUGUUGGUUUCCUUCAGAAGAUGUACAUGAUGCUCUAGCAGGAUGAGGUAGUAGGUUGUGUGGUUUCAGGGUAGUGAUUUUGCCCCAAUCAGGAGAUAACUAUACAACCUACUGCCUUCCCUGAUAAGCAGCAUAACAACACCAGUGUCUUAAUUCGCAGAGAAAUGAGAGCUAAAAUAUACUGAGACGUACUUCUGAGACAGCAAAGUAAGUCUAGAUACAGUUGUUGUUAUCCUGUCACUAAUUGCUCUACAUUUAGAUUUUAAAUGUAGAUUUUUAGUAACUGCCUGCAAAAUAAUUAUCCUUUUAAAAGUCUUUAUCAUGAAAAAUUGAAUUAAAGAAUUUUUAAGUAUUUCAAAGUUUGUCUGCUCUCAAUCUGUUUUGUUUCUGAUUCAUUUGAAUGGAAUGAAGCUAUUAUGGGAAAAAUGCUGCAAAGUUGCAUUCAGGAUGUUUGUAUUUCCUUGACAUCUGAGUGCAACAAAUUUUACUAGCAAUGCAUUGGUUUUGUUCAACUUCCCCCUCCCUCAGGAAUCUUACAGUGUUUUACAAAUAGUACCAGAUGAGUCGCGUGACUUCUUCAGCAGGUAGGCUGUAAUAGUGAAAAUCGAGAAUGAGAACUAAAAACCCAAAAACCAGACUGGUCCCUUAGUUUCUCAUAAGCAGGCUCAUUUCAUGACUUUUAAUGACCCCCAAAGAGAAUUCUCUGCUAUCUGAGAGGCACAAACCGCACCUGGAAAUCCAUGGACAGAAAAUAUUGGGUCCAUUAAAGAUAUUUUGAGAACAUGAACUUACACCAUAAAUCUGUGGAAGAGGGGAAACAUAAUGGCAAGGUGAUGGGUUUGGUUGCACACACAGAACUUGUUCUCCCACAUGCAAAAUAUACCCAAAAAUAGGAGAAAAGGCAGUUUAAUCCUUCCUUUACACAGCAAGACAGGUUCUUUUAACAUCUGCUUUUGAUGACAAAAACAUCUCACUUGUGGAACUGUUAAAACACAGUUUGCAGCACUGGGGGAUCUGGGAGGUUUCAGUGGAAUGCUGGACUUUACAGACCUUCCUGGGCAGAUUAUUCCCUUGUGGAAGCAUACACACUCUUCUCUCUGGCUUCAGCCUGGGUUUGGUACUGUCUCUCUCACAUCUGGUAAAAAACUACCCUGCGAGCUUGACAAAUGGUGUUGCAGCAGUGACUAUGUGAAAAUCAGAUGGGCAAUCCCAUAGGUCCUAUUUUUAUUUAGGUUUGGCUUGCUGGCUUGUUCUGGUGACCUCUGCUGAGGUUCGGCGUAGGAUACCCGUGGUUACCACGUGGUAACUUAUUUCCCCUGAAGUUUCAACAUGUUCACAACUUUGGUUGUAUUUUCUUUUUCUCUCCCUUUUUCUCCUGUUUACCAUGGGUAAAAUGAAAUGAUUGAUGGCCCAGGAUUCAAUGAUUCACCUUUUAUUUCCCUGUCCUACCAAAUCUUAGAGUCUGAGUUUGGAAGUUCAAAUGGACAAAUAAGUUUCCAUUUCAUUCCCCUUUGCAAUUCAGCUUUUCCAAAGCUUAAUAGGUUUUAACUGUAGCACAAAGAAACCUUAUAAAUACAUUACAUUUCAGACAUUCAUCAUGUUCUACUGUCUGGCAGAAAAAAGAAAAAGUGAUCAUUCACAUUUUUUUAUCAAAACUUGAGUAAAAUGAGUAUUAGAAAAGUCUCCCUCAGAAAGCCUCCACUUUAGGGUUAGACCUUUUCACACUAGAGCAAGGAAAAAGAUUUUAUUGUUUUGAAUGUGAUAGUAUAUCCCUAGCUCAAGCUCUUCCCAGGUUUCCAGUGGCGGAGCUGCGUCUGCGUGAGCUGGAUGAUGCCGGGGAAGCAAACACCUCGACGUGAGCGACGCCUGGGCUGUGCUCCAAGCCGUGAUACACGAACCGUGUGCCUCAUCCCACAGGUUAUUCCCCCAAAGGUGCCAGCUCCUGAAAGCCUGGGCUUUGCCCAAGGAGGUCACCACUGUGGGGCUUCUCCUGAGAUAUCUGGUCUCCUUCAAAGUGGCAUCCACAGGAGGGGGUCGUCCCUUCAACACAGAGUAAUUCUGCCUGGAGGCUAUUUAGUGAAGAGCCUUGCUGGUUUUGGGCCCACUGGAAACUAUUUAUCGCUGUUUACAGAAGAGAAAAGCCGGGCCACCAGAUUAGCAACCAAAUCUAAGACUGAUUUCAAAGUACAUUCUCCGAUAGAACAAUACCCAUCUUUCCAAUUCAGGGAUGGGAGCGGAUACCUGAGUAAAACAUCACUGUCGAAAGGCAGCCUGACUUUCACCAACUGUGGGGACAAAAAGAAUAUGCAUACCUUCCAGAAGAAAACACUGUAGCUAGGCCUCAAAGGUUCAUUAUCAAAUGAUUUCCAUGAGGUCGAGAGGUUUCCAGCAGUGAAUGGAGCAUCUCAGCCUUGGUUUCACAAAGGAGAGAUGGACCUAGGUGCACAAGGAUCUGUCAUGUGCAAUUGUGUUUACUUGUGCCUGUUUGCUAACCUCCAGCUUCGUGGAACAGGUCCCCUGAUCUGGUUCACAGCAUGGCCCUGCCAGGAGCUGGAAUUGGGAAGAUUGAGGAGUGAUGCAAUGUGGCAUGAGGACAAAAAAGGUGGAACUGGGUGUUGGGAUGUUUCUGAGGCCACAGGAUCAGAAAACUGUGGCCUUUCUGCUGCCAGCCUGAGGCGAGCCUCAAUUUCUAGCCACUGGUGAUCUUGUUAAUCUGUUUUAUAGCACAGUCAAUCUGCAUAUGUUUUCAAGUCUCAUCUGACCUCACUCUUCUGUUAUUGAAUAUCUUGUUUAGAAAUUCUUUUAUCAAACACUUAAAACAAUUUUAGAAAUACUUGUUUUAAAAAAAUCUAGGACUUAAUUAUGGGCAGCUCCUAUUCCCACAGCAAAGCUGGUAAGUGUAAAGAACAGUGAGAAAUACUUGAAUCAGAACAUGGACAGUCGAAGUUUAAAGGAAAAACUGGUACCUACAAAGCAUUUAUACGUGUGUUGCUUUUGUUUUAAAAUUUGACUUGUAGAUGUGCAAUGAUUAAGCAAAGAGCUCAGAAAUGGACUCUGUGGUUGUUCUUCAUCCCAGGCCGUUGUGGCCAACGCUCAGUGUACUGGUUGCAAACGCUGGAAAAGGCUGGAUGUGCUUGGAGCACGAAGAACUUGGCCUGAGGUGUGCAGAGUACGGAGGCAAACAGAAGUUGCAUCGUCAGUUUUAAUUUCUGCACUUGGACUGAAUUAUUUACAAAGAGAUGAGAUCGCAGCAGGCUGACAUUUUCACAGCAAUUCCUUCUUGAAAUCUGCAUAAACAGGGACUUCUGAAGCUUCCAUUAAGGCUACAACUAAAGCCAGACAAGAGUAGAUAAGCACUGCUGGGAGCAUGCUGGGAGUAUUUGCCAGUGACAGCUCAAGCUGAUCAAGCCAUGUGAGGGAACACACACACUGCAGGGAAAUAGAGGAAGACACUUUUAAGAGAAAACCAAGAAGUUACUAAUAAUUGCAUUAAGAAACACGAUGCACCAAACAUUCUACCUUCCCUCUGUGUUCUGCUGGGUCAUGCUCAUGUACAAGCUCUGCAGGGGAAGGGCAGGUUUUCUGCAGGAUUCUUAGAGGAGAGUAGAGAGCGCACAGGUGUUACAGGAAAGAAAGGCUGGGAAUUGGAAACAGACAUCAAAGGGGGUACAGAGUUGACGUAAAUAGUAAAGAGACUUGAGAGGGGUCAGUGAAAGAUGGCUUUGGCUGGAGAGGGGGUAGAAUGAAGGCCAAAAGAGAUGUUGCAAUAGUCAGCUUGUAAGAUACAAAUCAUAGCUAUGGUGGGGACAACAGGGACAGAUUUUAAGGAUGUUGCCCAAGAGAAUCUCAGUGAGACAGAUAAAACACCGAAUGGGAAACUGAGACUGGGGAAAAGGGGCAAUGAAGACUUCACAGAGCCAACAAAACAAAAGUAGGAGCCAGUGAGAAGCCUGGAUAAGGAAAGAAACUCUUUCUUUGAAAUAGGAAACAUUCAAACAGUAUUCAGUUCAAAGGACUGGAAAUACAGGGAUCAAUAAAUUAAAAUGCAUUAAGCAAUUAAAUUAAGAGUGCAUCUAUUUCCAAGGAUAAUAGGAAAAAACUUCAAAAUAGGAGCAAACUGUUAUCCCUUCAGUCACACUGUGGCAUGUACCAUGUGCAUUGAAGGAAGGAGCAAUCAACCCCAGUAACAGAAUAAAACUUCUAUCCAGUUCAAGAUACCAAGCAGUGACUUGUUUUCUAAAAAUGUGUAAUUUUAUUAUAUUAAGUCUAGCUGAUUUUUAGCAGUUCUCAGAGAUAAAAACCAAACCCCACAAAUAAAUCUGCUAAAUCCUGCAGAAUAUGGUAAUGUAGUGUCCAGCACAAAAAGAAACAUAUAGAAAAGGAAUCUUACACUGAAGGAAGAAAUAACUCAGAUGAGAAGGUUAGGCAAAUUUGGGGAAGAAAAGCCACAGCUGAGUUUUAAGAGAAAUUGCUUAUGCCCCAUAAACUGUUUUCAAGUCACUCAUUUCCCCUCUGGUUCCUCCAGAAGAGCAAUGAGAGGAUUGCCAAACAUUCUGGCUUAGGAAGCGUUAAUAAGUUCAAAGCACUGUGAUCUUACAUGCAACUGUUCUGAAGGCUUUUGGACACAGGAAGAGACGUAUGGAGACCUGGAAUGUUUGAUCUUGACACUCUGACAAAUAAUGAAUUAUUUUAAUAAGGAAGAAGUACUGAACAAAGUAACUUUUGAAUACAGAUAGAAGUUAUCUGAGUGACUGAGUCUAUACCUUACGUUGAUGGCAUGGUAAACAUCUCUAACGAAAAUUUAUAAGUAACAACUUCAAUUGCUUCUUUUGUUGGGAAAUACAAUCUCAGGUUUAAAAACAAAACAAAACAGGAAGAAUGUCUAAAUAGUUUUGUGGAACACUAGACUUGUGUAAACCUGUAACUCGAAUCCUGGUUCCAUCCAAAACCUGUCAUAUUCAAAUGAGGUAGAUGAGCCUCCUAUGAUUUAUCUAAAUGUUUUCAUUUAUCACCUUUAGUCUUAGAGCUUUGUUCUAAUCCAGGAGAGAGACGUGCAUCUGAAAAAAAGCCAACCUGCAAAUCCAGCCUGCCCUAAAACCAACAGCCAAGCAAAGCAGCACAGACAUUUCUGUAUCCAAACUGCUCUACUGGGGCAGAGCUUCCUAAGGAAAGCUCAGGGUGGAUACAUCUCACAGAUCUCCUCUGCUCCAACAGUUUUCUUGGCUGUUGGUUUUUUUUAAGGGGCUUGGUCUGGUUAGAGAGAAUUGCUCUUUAAACAAUAAUUUGCAUACUGUGUAUAUUAAAUGAAUCAGAAGUAACCAUCUCCUGUUCAUUAUCACAUGGGACUUUUGGCUUUGACAUAUUUUGACAAGGCACAAAUGGGCAGGAUUCAGUGUGCACAAAAUUAUACAUAAAAGGCAUAAAUUAUGCUUGGAUAGUUUUCUAGACUUCUGCUAGUGACCUCUGUUCAUAAAACUUCUUGCCUCGUGAUGGUCCAGCCUCUUCUACUCAUUUAAGAAGAGUAAUUCAGUGGUAUUAAAUUAAUUUUCACUUAGCACAUGUUAGCUCUGUAAAACUUCAAUAAUCACUCAAGGACAAACAGAACUGUAUAUCUGCUGUUUCAGCUGAUAAAGGGCUGGCUACGAUACUGGGUGCCUGCAGUGCCUGUUCAAACAAAUACCCGAAUGGGAAGGCUCUGUGGCUGUAUCCACCUUCUUGGGAAAAUCGUUCGUCAUGACCCAGCAUAAGCAAGGCCCCAUUGUCUGCUAAACCCUUUGUCAUCAAAUCAGCAAGAGAAACCACAGCAACCAUCUGAGUGCAGGGUCAGCCCACUUCCCGUGUGUUACCUGUAGCUGGAGGAGGUGAUGAAGGUGCUGGCAGUUUUUCCUGGUGUAGUCUCUCUCCCAGGCUUCUGAAUGAGUCUGUGCUGACUGGAUCUGCUCAUCUGCUCCCACAGAAUUGUUUUGAGAGGCUCCAUGUCUGGCCUUUAAAUAAAGGAAAAGGAAUUUUUGUUCUGCAAAGGAAAACAUUUUGUGACAGAAAUGCUGCAUGUGGCUGUGCAGACCUCUGGCAAAGCUGACUGGCUACUGGAAAGAUGGAAAAUCAACUACUGCACAAAUCUGGCUGCUUGUUUCACAACUGUCAAGUUGUUAGGCAAUAGCAAUAAGGUUAUUGCAUAUUAAUAGAAUAUAACACUAAUUAAAUCUUAUUCCAGCUAAAAGCCUAGUAAGUAAUCUACUUUGUGAUUUCUAAAAGCUUGCACAUUUAAAUAGCUAAUGGAUGUUUAUGAUAUUUAGUAUGUUAUUAAGAUUCGAAAUGUGAUACAAAUUUACACAAUUCAGUCAGUAAUCUACACUUUAAAAGCUCUUUCACUAAAAAAUGAAUCAGUACAGUCUCCUGUAUAAAUAUUUUAAGUGCAGAAUAGAUUCUACUCCUUCACUACAGAUGCUUUCUGCAACAUCAGCAGUUUUUAUGGACGAAAAGUAUCCAAAUUCUUCAGAAGAAACACUUCCAAUACAGGGAUUAAGAGAGCUCUCUUCCAUGUCUGGGGUAACACAGCCCUCCCUGCUGACCGUGCUGUAGAUGGAGGUUGCUACACAUUUGGUGUGGGAUGAGAAGCCCACAGCUCAUAAACAGGAAACAGCCCACAACUCAUUUUAAAUUCCACUAAAUAUUUUGUGUUUUUACUGCCUUGGAUGUGCUUGUGCGUGAGUCAGGACGAGAUGAGCUCAGCAGCUAGCAUAAAGCUCAGCCAGCCUGGCAGGCCUCUCACUGGCAACAGUGGUGAAUCCAUAAAAUGUGUAUAUUCCUGAGGCAAAAGCCUGCAUCCAUGCCAAGAUAUUACUUUGGGGAAUUUUACUGCAGUGCUUGUGCCAUGUCACCUCAGGGACCAGCAAUACGAGCAUGCUUGCAAAUAGACCUCCUAAACCCAAUCGGAAAGUUCAGUAUGGAAACUCAUACAAAAUGUCCUCAGUUUCCACAGCUUCCUUGCCCACACAUGAGGGGAAACAGGUUGGAAGGAAGGAAGGAACCAAACUGAAUGAAAAACUUGUCUUCUCAGAUAAUAGCUUUAAUGGAAAUAGUCCCUGAUGCUUGUUAUCAGCUGAUCUCUGCUACACACAGACUGGGAGGAAAUACAUAGGUGUUAAAAUUGGGAAUUUACCAACUAAAUCAAAUUAUUCUUGUGGCAUUGGGUGUUGUCCCGGCUUGGAGCAGACCUUGGAGGAGCACUAGUGAUUGAGAAGUUGGGCUGUGACCAGAACCAGCUUGAAAUAGUCUUAAAAAGGUUAAAAUAAAUGUGAGGGCUUUCAUUAGCUUUGUUUUCUGGGAUGUUUCUGUUGCCUUUUGCUGGUUGGUAUAAGCCAUGCUUUUGGGGGUUUUGAGCCUCUGCUGUUACUGUUGUUCCUCCACCGAGUGCUCUGGUGUCCAGGGCCAUGUGCUUAAAUUUAUGAGACAUUUGUGGAAUUUAGUGUGGUGCUCACUGCAGUAGCGGCGCUGAGCCCUCAGGACAGUGCUCUCCUUUCCCUUCUGGGCCUCAAUCAACUUCCCAUUGGAAACAUCUGAAGCGACUCAUGUUUCACCUUCCCAGCACUGUGCCAUUGGCUACUCAGGUCAGUGAUCAAGUGGGUUUUCUUAUAAGUUUGUUUUUUGGGGUUUUUUCCCUGAACAAAGUGCAAAUGUGAAGGCGAACACGCGCUUCCAUGAUUUUGGAAAGCC